rnacentral:rRNA from 1 species
CAACCUGCCCACCACUUGGGGAUAACCUUGCGAAAGUAAGACUAAUACCCAAUGAUAUCUCUAGAAGACAUCUGAAAGAGAUUAAAGAUUUAUCGGUGAUGGAUGGGGAUGCGUCUGAUUAGCUUGUUGGCGGGGUAACGGCCCACCAAGGCAACGAUCAGUAGGGGUUCUAAGAGGAAGGUCCCCCACAUUGGACUGAGACACGGUCCAAACUCCUACGGGAGGCAGCAGUGAGGAAUAUUGGUCAAUGGACGAGAGUCUGAACCAGCCAAGUAGCGUGCAGGAAGACGGCCCUAUGGGUUGUAAACUGCUUUUAUAAGGGAAUAAAGUGAGUCUCGUGAGACUUUUUGCAUGUACCUUAUGAAUAAGGACCGGCUAAUUCCGUGCCAGCAGCCGCGGUAAUACGGAAGGUCCGGGCGUUAUCCGGAUUUAUUGGGUUUAAAGGGAGCGUAGGCCGGAGAUUAAGCGUGUUGUGAAAUGUAGACGCUCAACGUCUGCACUGCAGCGCGAACUGGUUUCCUUGAGUACGCACAAAGUGGGCGGAAUUCGUGGUGUAGCGGUGAAAUGCUUAGAUAUCACGAAGAACUCCGAUU